rnacentral:snRNA from 1 species
GUGCUCACUUCAGCAGCACAUAUACUAAAAUUAGAAGGAUACAGAGAAGAUUAGCAUGGCCCCUGCACAAGGAUGACAUGCAAAUUCGUGAAGUGUUCCAUAUUUUU